UCUAGCUCCUGGUUCCUGACUCCCAGCCGUUGCCCUCCUGACACACUUCCCCGGUGCCAGGCGGAACGGAUGGGGAUCAGGCUCCAGGAUCCGGCCCCG
rfam:Cryobacterium sp. LW097, complete genome.